rnacentral:lncRNA from 1 species
UCCGACCUUUUUUUUUUCGGAAAAAGUAUACUUCGACUCCUUCAACUAUGACCCGAGUAUGAUUCAUGACCUCCAAUCACAAAACCUUGACUCCUCCAACUAUCAAAACCAAUACAAACUAUAUCCCUCGGUGGUUUUGGAAGCGGUUUUCGCUGACGUGGCACUUACGUGGCAGUGUUGACCCGGUCUUCGUCCCACGUGUCGCUUAUGUGGCAUUAGAGUAAAAAAAUAUUGUGGGACCAACAUGUCAUUCAAAAAAAAAAGUAGGACCCACCGACAUAUGGGCCCCACAUAAUUAUCCUCAGCUCUCCCCCUCUUUCUUUCAUCUUUUCUACUCCCCUCACCUUCCUCCAUCACUAGAGACGGGGCGGCGGCGACGGUGACAGUGACGGCGCACGGGGGAGGAGCUCGCCGGCCGUCCACGCGAGGGGGAGGAGCCCGCUAGCCAUCCCGCGAGCUCGCCGCCCAUCCGCGCACAGAGGGAGGAGGUCGCCGGCCGUCCGCGCGCUGGGGAGGAGGUCGCCGGCGUCCGCGCGGGAGGAGGUCUCCGGCCGUCCGCGCACAGAGGGAGGAGGUCGCCGGCCGUCCGUGCGCGGGCGAGGAGGUCGCCGGCGUCCGCGCGCCGGGGAGGAGGUCGCCGGCGUCCGCGCGCCGGGGAGGAGGUCGCCAGCCGUCCACGCGCGGGGGAGGAGGUCGCCGGCCGUCCGCGCGCGGGGGACGAGGUCGCCGGCGUCCGCGCACGGGGGAGGAGCUCGCCGCCGGCCGUCCGCGCGCUGGGGACGAGGUCGCCGGAAUCCGCGCACGGGGGAGGAGCUCGCGGACCAUCCGUGUGCCACCGCGACGCCAUCGUCACCUCUCCCCGGCCGGCCAUUGUCACCUCUCCUCUUCGUGCUUCGUUGCUUCGGC